rnacentral:rRNA from 1 species
AUUGAACGCUGGCGGCAUGCCUAACACAUGCAAGUCGAACGGCAGCACAGAUAUAGUUUACUAUAUUGGGUGGCGAGUGGCGGACGGGUGAGUAACGCGUGGGUAUAUAACCUAAAGACGGGGACAACUUGCGGAAACGCGAGCUAAUACCGGAUAAGCUCUGAGGAGAAAAGCUGGGGAUCUGGCGACAGACCUGGCGCUUUAGGAGUAACCUGCGUCCAAUUAGCUAGUUGGUAGGGUAAAGGCCUACCAAGGCGACGAUUGGUAGCUGGUCUGAGAGGACGGACAGCCACACUGGGACUGAGACACGGCCCAGACUCCUACGGGAGGCAGCAGUGGGGAAUAUUGGACAAUGGGCGAAAGCCUGAUCCAGCAAUGCCGCGUGUGUGAAGAAGGCCUGAGGGUUGUAAAGCACUUUCGGCCGGGAAGGAAAUACGUGGUCUCUAACAUAGGCCAUGGAUGACGGUACCGGACUAAGAAGCACCGGCUAACUACGU